GCCAUCCAUUAUCAUAAGCAUUAGCGAUUAAGUAAAGAUUAGGGCAAAUGAUUCAAUGGGAUAAGACGCUACGGGAGGUUGAGAACGAAAGGAGAGGUGGAGAAAAUUUUACUUAAGUGGUAGGGUAGGAUGCCCUUAUCACCUUCUUAGCCUCUAUAUUCCACACCAUGGAUUGGAAUUGUCAUUAGCCACUUUCUUUAUAAUUGUAACCCCUCCC
rnacentral:lncRNA from 1 species